rnacentral:rRNA from 1 species
AUUGAACGCUGGCGGUAUGCCUUACACAUGCAAGUCGAACGGUAGAGGGGCAACCCUUGAGAGUGGCGAACGGGUGAGUAAUACAUCGGAACGUGCCCAGUCGUGGGGGAUAACGUAGCGAAAGCUACGCUAAUACCGCAUACGACCUGAGGGUGAAAGCGGGGGAUCGCAAGACCUCGCGCGAUUGGAGCGGCCGAUGGCAGAUUAGGUAGUUGGUGGGGUAAAGGCCUACCAAGCCUGCGAUCUGUAGCUGGUCUGAGAGGACGACCAGCCACACUGGGACUGAGACACGGCCCAGACUCCUACGGGAGGCAGCAGUGGGGAAUUUUGGACAAUGGGCGCAAGCCUGAUCCAGCCAUACCGCGCGCGGG